GGUCGGAUGGUGUAGUUGGUUAUCACGUCAGUCUAACACACUGAAGGUCUCCGGUUCAAGCCCGGGUCUGAUCA